AAGAGUAUUGAUUGGUCAGUAGGCGUUGCUUUUACACCAGUUGAUCUCUAAUCUCCAACAUAACCUCCUCCCGAGCAGGUUAGGUGUUCAGCAUAAGUUACCACGGCGAUUGAACCCGGUAACAAGUGAUCCACUUUCUUAGUACAGAAAAGCCUGGAU